UACGUAGGGUGCGAGCGUUGUCCGGAAUUAUUGGGCGUAAAGAGCUCGUAGGCGGUCUGUCGCGUCUGCUGUGAAAUCCCGAGGCUCAACCUCGGGCCUGCAGUGGGUACGGGCAGACUAGAGUGCGGUAGGGGGAGAUUGGAAUUCCUGGUGUAGCGGUGGAAUGCGCAGAUAUCAGGAGGAACACCGGUGGCGAAGGCGGCCAACUGGACAGAUACUGACGCUGAGACUCGAAAGCGUGGGGAGCAAACAGG
rnacentral:rRNA from 1 species